CUUGGACAUUGUCAGCUCAGGCAUUCACCUUACAGAUUAUUGAGGACAACUUCUUCAUCUCAAAGACCAAGAAAUUAAGACCCAAAGAGGCCAAGGCGCGGCGACGAGGCUGGCUGGACCCAGCCAGGGCAGCGGGGCGAGCAGCGCGGAUAGGGCUCUUGGGGGCGCUCGCGGCAGGUGGGGCGCGCUGGCUCUGGGCCCUUUUAGCUCAGCUCCCUUGCUGGCUCCUGCCUAUCUUGGCAGCCAGGGAGGCAGCAGGAUAAGGCGGCGGCAGUGGCUGGACAUCAGACAGGGCUACGGAUCGGAACCAGGAGUGGAUCUGCUCCCUGUUCUGGUCCUGGACUAAUGGGAUCACCAGGGGCGGCCCAGUCACCGUCAUCAUUGAGGAGGCCCAGGAUACCCCUGGCUGCACCCCAUCACCAUCAAGGCCCUGGUCACAAGACAACACUGGUAGAGCUCAGAUUGCCCAAUGGCUGGGAGGAAGCAUAUACUCUUGGAGGUGCAAGAUCCUAUCUACAGAGGCUACCCCAGACGUGCUCUCUGUUGGAGAAAGAGUUCAAGAAAAUGAGCAGAAGCCCUCAAGGUCUCCUGAGGUCUGGGCUCCCAACUGGGGCACUGUCACUUCUACCACUUUCCCUUGGCAGAAGGUAGUCAUGAGGCCAGCUCAGAUUCAAGGACUGGAGACAUAGAUUGUUUUUUUGAUGGAAGAGGUUGCAAACUCACAUUGGAAAAGGUUGUUGAUUCAAGGAGGAAAUGAAAACUGGGACUUUUUAUUUUUGUCACCCAUAUAGCAUGUUAUGAAAGCAUUACUGAACCCAGCUGAAGUUUAUGAUUCCUCCUUCUCAAAUAACCAGGUAACACUUGGCCACAGGCAGAGUAUUAAUCAUAUACUCCUUUGAUUAUAUACAAAAAUUAAGUGGAC
rnacentral:lncRNA from 1 species